rnacentral:rRNA from 1 species
UUGAACGCUGGCGGCAUGCCUUACACAUGCCAGUCGAACGGCAGCAUGAUCUAGCUUGCUAGAUUGAUGGCGAGUGGCGAACGGGUGAGUAAUACAUCGGAACGUGCCCUGUAGUGGGGGAUAACUAGUCGAAAGAUUAGCUAAUACCGCAUACGACCUGAGGGUGAAAGUGGGGGACCGCAAGGCCUCAUGCUAUAGGAGCGGCCGAUGUCUGAUUAGCUAGUUGGUGAGGUAAAGGCUCACCAAGGCGACGAUCAGUAGCUGGCCUGAGAGGACGAUCAGCCACACUGGGACUGAGACACGGCCCAGACUCCUACGGGAGGCAGCAGUGGGGAAUUUUGGACAAUGGGCGAAAGCCUGAUCCAGCAAUGCCGCGUGUGUGAAGAAGGCCUUCGGGUUGUAAAGCACUUUUGUCCGGAAAGAAAUGGCUCUGGUUAAUACCUGGGGUCGAUGACGGUACCGGAAGAAUAAGGACCGGCUAACUACGUG